AGUGAACGCUGGCGGUAGGCCUAACACAUGCAAGUCGAACGGCAGCACAGUAAGAGCUUGCUCUUACGGGUGGCGAGUGGCGGACGGGUGAGGAAUACAUCGGAAUCUACUUUUUCGUGGGGGAUAACGUAGGGAAACUUACGCUAAUACCGCAUACGACCUACGGGUGAAAGCAGGGGAUCUUCGGACCUUGCGCGAUUGAAUGAGCCGAUGUCGGAUUAGCUAGUUGGCGGGGUAAAGGCCCACCAAGGCGACGAUCCGUAGCUGGUCUGAGAGGAUGGUCAGCCACACUGGAACUGAGACACGGCCCAGACUCCUACGGGAGGCAGCAGUGGGGAAUAUUGGACAAUGGGCGCAAGCCUGAUCCAGCCAUACCGCGUGGGUGAAGAAGGCCUUCGGGUUGUAAAGCCCUUUUGUUGGGAAAGAAAAGCAGCAGGUUAAUACCCCGCUGUUCUGACGGUACCCAAAGAAUAAGCACCGGCUAACUUCGUG
rnacentral:rRNA from 1 species